rnacentral:lncRNA from 1 species
AUCUGGGGUUAGGAGAAUGUAUCUAGGGUUAGGAGAAUGUAUCUAGGGUUAGGAGAAUGUAUCUAGGGUUAGGAGAAUGUAUCUAGGGUUAGGAGAAUAUAUCUAGGGUUAGGAGAAUGUAUCUAGGGUUAGGAGAAUGUAUCUGGGGUUAGGAGAAUGUAUCUAGGGUUAGGAGAAUGUAUCUAGGGUUAGGAGAAUGUAUCUAGGGUUAGGAGAAUGUAUCUAGGGUUAGGAGAAUGUAUCUAGGGUUAGGAGAAUGUAUCUAGGGUUAGGGUUAGGAGAAUGUAUCUAGGGUUAGGAGAAUGUAUCUAGGGUUAGGGUUAGGAGAAUGUAUCUAGGGUUAGGAGAAUGUAUCUAGGGUUAGGGUUAGGAGAAUGUAUCUAGGGUUAGGAGAAUAUAUCUAGGGUUAGGAGAAUGUAUCUAGGGUUAGGAGAAUGUAUCUGGGGUUAGGAGAAUGUAUCUAGGGUUAGGAGAAUGUAUCUGGGGUUAGGAGAAUGUAUCUAGGGUUAGGAGAAUGUAUCUAGGGUUAGGAGAAUGUAUCUAGGGUUAGGAGAAUGUAUCUAGGGUUAGGAGAAUGUAUCUGGGGUUAGGAGAAUGUAUCUGGGGUUAGGAGAAUGUAUCUAGGGUUAGGAGAAUGUAUCUGGGGUUAGGAGAAUGUAUCUAGGGUUAGGAGAAUGUAUAGAUAAUGAUAUUAAAUCAAUUGAACAUGACUUAAAUGUAAGACAAAUACAUUGUGUGUGUGUGUGUGUGUGUGUGUGUGUGUGUGUGUGUGUGUGUGUGUGUGUGUGUGUGUGUGUGUGUGUGUGUGUGUGUGUGUGUUUAG